rnacentral:rRNA from 1 species
AUACAUGCAGUCGAGCGAAUUGAUGGGAGCUUGCUCCCUGAUAUUAGCGGCGGACGGGUGAGUAACACGUGGGUAACCUGCCUGUAAGAUUGGGAUAACUCCGGGAAACCGGAGCUAAUACCGGAUAACAUGUUGAACCGCAUGGUUCAACAUUGAAAGAUGGCUUUUGCUAUCACUUACAGAUGGACCCGCGGCGCAUUAGCUAGUUGGUGAGGUAACGGCUCACCAAGGCGACGAUGCGUAGCCGACCUGAGAGGGUGAUCGGCCACACUGGGACUGAGACACGGCCCAGACUCCUACGGGAGGCAGCAGUAGGGAAUCUUCCGCAAUGGACGAAAGUCUGACGGAGCAACGCCGCGUGAACGAUGAAGGCCUUCGGGUCGUAAAGUUCUGUUGUUAGGGAAGAACAAGUACCAGAGUAACUGCUGGUACCUUGACGGUACCUAACCAGAAAGCCACGGCUAACUACGUGGCAGCGGCCGCGGUAAUACGUAGGUGGCAAGCGUUGUCCGGAAUUAUUGGGCGUAAGCGCGCGCAGGUGGUUCUCUUAAGUCUGAUGUGAAAGCCCACGGCUCAACCGUGGAGCGUCAUGUGGAACUGGGGAGACUUGAGUGCAAAAAGAGAAGU